GGCUGGUCCAAUGGUAGUGGGUUAUCAGAACCUAUUAACAUUAAUAUUAGUGUCACUAAAGUUGGUAUACAACCCCCUGCUGCUAAAUUUGACUGGCUUAAA
ensembl:Y_RNA Y_RNA Y RNA